rnacentral:lncRNA from 1 species
UUACUUGUUCCAAUUGACUUCUUCUACUAAAGGAGGUUAGGAAGUUACUUGAUCAUCUUGAACACUUCUUAGUUUUUUUUCUAUAAAUAGGUGUGUUGGCAUGUAUUGUAAACUUCGGGUAGAAGAAAAAUUGUAAGGUUUGUACAAGAGAGUUGUUGAGAGAAAAUAGCUCUAUUGUAUGAAAUAUAUGUUGUAAGAUUUAUGAAAGUUUGUUUAUUUGAGUGAAAAAGUGAUAUUCUAUCACAACUUCUACCCAUCACAUUCGUCAGCAAAUCAAUACACCAUUUCUCACAAAUACGAAAAGUAUCGCCACAAAAUGUGUAUGACCAGAAUUUGCAACUCUCAUGCUGUGAUUAUUGAGGAUUUGCCAGUGGGGAACACAUCUCCUGAGGUUAUUUUGCCUAUCCAAAUUGAUCAUCCCUCAACAUCCUACCGUAGAGGUAACAAUGGUUGUCGUUGAAGAAAAUCGUGAUUGAAGACUCCUUGAGUUCGGUGGUCGACUAAAUAUAAAAUCGAACAAGAAAUGCACUUAGCAUCGCAAAAAUGGGAGGAGCGUAGUUGAGGUUGUCGAUCUUACAUCUACCAUGAAGAAGAAGAAGGCGAUACACUACUAUGUUCCACAUGUUCUUGGUUAUUUUUUGAAGAAGACAUGUUUGUAGUGUAUAUAAUCCAUUAUUUUUUAGGGUUUUCAAUUUUUACCAUUUCUAAAGAAUUAAUCAUACAUAAAUCGCAUUUUUUUA